rnacentral:sRNA from 1 species
UUCAUCAACGCCAGAAGUUCAUCACAGAAAAGUCACGCGCUGACUUCAGAGAUCAUCUCUAUAGAACACAUUGUGUAAUCAGAAGUAAGCAGGGGGCGUUGAUCACUACAGAGAAAACCUGGAUUUAGUUUUUAAGUUGUGAUUAGACCGUCAAGUGAUGAAGUGCCAACCUGCUUCUACCCUUCAAACAACGCAUACAAGAGCACAAGGGAGGCUAUUGACAUUGUUGCUCAUCAUGGGUCUAGUUGUAGCAGAAACAAAGACGCAAGACGAUAAGAAAUUUCAUCACCAGUUAAGUCAUAGCAUCAUGAAGACAACCACACCAACAACCACUUUCACGUCAUUUAGGCCAACCCAAGGCUCUGAGAGAAGAACCAAGAGCAGAAGAAGACACAACAAAGAAAACCUAGUCCUCCAAGGAUUAUAUAGUAGGAGAUAGAGACAAGUCAACUAUACAGUCAAAGGGUAACAAUCGAAACUAGAAAGAAAUUGUCCAGAGAAGGCAUCGCCUAAUGAUGUCACAUGGUUUAUGGUUGUGAUGUUGUACACAUCCGGUUGUAUAUUCUCUACAAAAACUGCAAAGAUACGCGGAUUGAUCGCUAGGGUAGGACAUGUCUGAGAAAGUUGAAAACAUUCUUCACUGGCUUAAUUUCAAUAAAUGUAACAACUGUUUUGGCUUGCACUACAGAC